rnacentral:rRNA from 1 species
AUUGAACGCUGGCGGCAGGCCUAACACAUGCAAGUCGAGCGGAUGAAGGGAGCUUGCUCCUGGAUUCAGCGGCGGACGGGUGAGUAAUGCCUAGGAAUCUGCCUGGUAGUGGGGGAUAACGUCCGGAAACGGGCGCUAAUACCGCAUACGUCCUGAGGGAGAAAGUGGGGGAUCUUCGGACCUCACGCUAUCAGAUGAGCCUAGGUUGGAUUAGCUAGUUGGUGGGGUAAAGGCCUACCAAGGCGACGAUCCAUAACUGGUCUGAGAGGAUGAUCAGUCACACUGGAACUGAGACACGGUCCAGGCUCCUACGGGAGGCAGCAGUGGGGAAUAUUGGACAAUGGGCGAAAGCCUGAUCCAGCCAUGCCGCGUGUGUGAAGAAGGUCUUCGGAUUGUAAAGCACUUUAAGUUGGGAGGAAGGGCAGUAAGUUAAUACCUUGCUGUUUUGACGUUACCAACAGAAUAAGCACCGGCUAACUUCGUG